rnacentral:snRNA from 1 species
ACUGCUUCUUAGUCUUUUGGCUAAGAUCAAGUAUAGUAUUGUUCUUAUCAGUCUAAUAUCUGAUACGUCCUCUAUCCGAGAACAAUAUAUUCCAAGGAUUUUGGGAGCCAGGCAUUGGAAUAGGAGCAUGCUCCCAUCCACUCCACACAUAGAUCUGGUAUUCACUGCAGUACUCCAGGAACAGCACACCUUUU